GUGUUGUUUGACCUGUGUGGGUAUUUUAGAGAAGUGAGUGCAAAAGUCCUAUACAUCAGUGAUCUUGAGAAGUUGGAGGAGCGAAUCAUAAUGACAUUAUGUCAUAUGGAGAGAAUAUUCGCACCAGGUUUUUUCACCGUUAUGGUGCAUUUGGUUAUGCAUCUAGCAACAGAGGCAAAAAUAGGUGGUCCAGUGUGCUACCGUUCGAUGUGGUUUGUGGAAAGGUAUAUAGGUAAGCUGAAGUCAAAUGUCCGUAACAAAGCUCAUCCUGAAGGAUCUAUCGCUGAAGCAUUUUUGGCAGAUGAGUGCAUGACAUUCUGUUCAAGAUAUAUUGUCGGUUUUGAGAUCAAACAUAACUUGCCUUCGCAGAAUGAAGAUAACGAGGAGUGGGUUGGGCACCAUGAUAAUGCACAUGGAUCAAGAUUAUUUCCUCAUUCUGGCAAUCCACUUGGAAAGCCUAGGAAUUGUGUA
rnacentral:rRNA from 1 species